AUUGAACGCUGGCGGCAUGCCUUACACAUGCAAGUCGAACGGUAGAGGGGCAACCCUUGAGAGUGGCGAACGGGUGAGUAGCGUAUCGGAACAUGCCCGGUCGUGGGGGAUAACGUAGCGAAAGUUACGCUAAUACCGCAUACGAUCUAAGGAUGAAAGCGGGGGACCGAAAGGCCUCGCGCGAUCGGAGUGGCCGAUAUCAGAUUAGGUAGUUGGUGGGGUAAAGGCCUACCAAGCCGACGAUCUGUAGCUGGUCUGAGAGGACGACCAGCCACACUGGGACUGAGACACGGCCCAGACUCCUACGGGGGGCAGCAGUGGGGAAUUUUGGACAAUGGGCGAAAGCCUGAUCCAGCAAUGCCGCGUGCAGGAUGAAGGCCUUCGGGUCGUAAACUCCUGUCGACCGGGACGAAAGUAGCUCAACCUAAUACGUCGGGCUAUCGACUGUACCGGUGGAGGAAGCCACGGCUAACUCUGUGCCAGCCGCCGCGGUAACAC
rnacentral:rRNA from 1 species